GAGGUCGGACAGCUCAUCAGCAGCGGGAACCCCACAGUGCAAACGCUGGCCUGCUCCAUCCUGACCGCUCUGCUCAGUGAGUUCUCAAGCUCCAGUAAGACCAGCAGCAUCGGCCUCAGCAUGGAGUUUCAUGGCAACUGCAAGCGUCUGUUUCAGGAGGACGGCCUGCGUCAGAUCUUCAUGAUGACCAUGGAGGUGCUGCAGGAGUUCACUCGGCGUGAA